UACGAAGGGGGCUAGCGUUGCUCGGAAUCACUGGGCGUAAAGGGCGCGUAGGCGGCCUUCUAAGUCUUGUGUGAAAUCCCUCGGCUCAACUGAGGAACUGCACGGGAUACUGGAUGGCUUGAGUUCGGGAGAGGGAAGCGGAAUUCCGGGUGUAGCGGUGAAAUGCGUAGAUAUCCGGAGGAACACCGGUGGCGAAGGCGGCUUCCUGGACCGAUCACUGACGCUGAGGCGCGAAAGCUAGGGGAGCAAACGGG
rnacentral:rRNA from 1 species